GUGAAGCUGUGCAGCGGGCGUGGGGGUGACUAUUCAAGUGGCAGCAAAGAAGAAAGGCGCUGUGUAGAGAUCCGGAGCUUUGGCACAGAGGCAAAGCCGAGGCUCUGAUACCAAGUUGAUGCAGCACCAGUGCGGGGAAAGAGGAGAAGAAGGAAGAACAAGAGAAGGAGAAGGAAGAAGAGGUUGUAGAGACGCAGGAAGAAUAGAGGAGGAGAGGAGAAGAAGAGAAGAAAGAACGUAGGGGAAAGAAAAUUCCAAAUCACUUCAUUAAAACCUAAUCAUGAAAAUAGUUC
rnacentral:lncRNA from 1 species